rnacentral:rRNA from 1 species
AGAAUCAACGCUGGCGGCGUGCCUAACACAUGCAAGUCGAACGAGAAAGUGGAGCAAUCCAUAAGUAAAGUGGCGCACGGGUGAGUAACACGUGACUAACCUACCCUGGAGUGGGGAAUAACUGAGGGAAACCUUAGCUAAUACCGCAUAACACCUACGGGUCAAAGGAGCAAUUCGCUUUGGGAGGGGGUCGCGGCAGAUUAGCUAGUUGGCGGGGUAAUGGCCCACCAAGGCGAUGAUCUGUAU